CAGGUGACACUCAGGUGACACUCAGGUGACAUUUCCAGGGUGGCAUGCUGGCUGUCCGCGAGAACCGUUACAUCCAUGGGUGACACUCAGGUGACAUUGGUGACACUGAGGCUCACUCAGGUGACACUGAGGUGACAAUGUCACUGUCCCCAGGGGGGCAUGCUGGCUGUCCGCGAGAACCGUUACAUCCAUGGGUGACACUGAGGCUCACUCAGGUGACACUGAGGUGACAUUGGUGACACUCAGGUGACACUGAGGCUCACUCAGGUGACACUGAGGUGACAUUGGUGACACUGAGGUGACAUUGGUGACACUGAGGUGACAUUUUCAGGGUGGCAUGCUGGCCGUGCGUGAGAAC